rnacentral:rRNA from 1 species
AUUAGAGUUUGAUCCUGGCUCAGAUUGAACGCUGGCGGCAUGCCUUACACAUGCAAGUCGAACGGCAGCACGGAGCUUGCUCUGGUGGCGAGUGGCGAACGGGUGAGUAAUAUAUCGGAACGUACCCUAGAGUGGGGGAUAACGUAGCGAAAGUUACGCUAAUACCGCAUACGAUCUAAGGAUGAAAGUGGGGGGUCGCAAGACCUCAUGCUCGUGGAGCGGCCGAUAUCUGAUUAGCUAGUUGGUAGGGUAAAAGCCUACCAAGGCAUCGAUCAGUAGCUGGUCUGAGAGGACGACCAGCCACACUGGAACUGAGACACGGUCCAGACUCCUACGGGAGGCAGCAGUGGGGAAUUUUGGACAAUGGGCGAAAGCCUGAUCCAGCAACGCCGCGUGAGUGAAGAAGGCCUUCGGGUUGUAAAGCUCUUUUGUCAGGGAAGAAACGGUGAGAGCUAAUAUCUCUUGCUAAUGACGGUACCUGAAGAAUAAGCACCGGCUAACUACGUGCCAGCAGCCGCGGUAAUACGUAGG